rnacentral:rRNA from 1 species
AAUCAACGCUGGCGGCGUGCCUCAGACAUGCAAGUCGAACGAUUAAAGCUCCCUUCGGGGAGUGCAUAGAGUGGCGCACGGGUGAGUAACACGUAAGUAAUCUACCCUCGAGUGGGGAAUAACAGUCGGAAACGACUGCUAAUACCGCAUAAUGCAGCGGCACCGCAAGGUGACAGUUGUUAAAGGAGCAAUCCGCUUGAGGAGGAGCUUGCGGCAGAUUAGCUAGUUGGUGGGGUAAUGGCUCACCAAGGCUACGAUCUGUAUCCGGUCUAAGAGGACGGUCGGACACACUGACACUGAAUAACGGGUCAGACUCCUACGGGAGGCAGCAGUCGGGAAUUUUGGGCAAUGGGUGAAAGCCUGACCCAGCAACGCCGCGUGAAGGAUGAAGUAUUUCGGUAUGUAAACUUCGAAAGAAUGGGAAGAAUAAAUGACGGUACCAUUUAUAAGCUCCGGCUAACUACGUGCCAGCCGCCGCAGUAACAC